CAGAGAUAAGAGGAAGCGAGUGGAGCGGGGCGGCCGCAUGGCACCCAAGGGCGGUCGAGGAAAGGGCAAGGGCGACAAGAAGAAGAAAGAUGAGAAAGUUCUGCCUCUGGCUGUGGACAUCACAGUAAUGCUCCCGGAUGAGUCUCAUGUCAUCCUCAAGGGGAUAUCGACCGACAAGAUCAUCGAUGUGCGGCGGCUGCUCUGCGUCAACACCCUUGCGUGCCAUAUCACCAAUUACUCCCUCUCCCAUGAGGUACACAUGACCUCCCUAACCCCUUUGCUUCUG